UACGUAGGGUGCGAGCGUUAAUCGGAAUUACUGGGCGUAAAGCGUGCGCAGGCGGUUUUGUAAGCCAGAUGUGAAAUCCCCGGGCUUAACCUGGGAAUGGCAUUUGGGACUGCAAGGCUGGAGUUUGGCAGAGGAGACUGGAAUUCCUGGUGUAGCAGUGAAAUGCGUAGAUAUCAGGAGGAAUACCGAUGGCGAAGGCGGCUUCCUGGACCGACACUGACGCUGAGGCGCGAAAGCUAGGGGAGCAAACGGG
rnacentral:rRNA from 1 species